UGGCUCUUUCGGCUCCGAACCGGUGUUCUGGGAAUUUCUCCUACCCCGUAAACCGUCCUACCCGUAGUUCCUGAGCAUGUGCGCGCAUGCGCACAACACAAAAAGGGAAGCUAAGCGCAUCCGGCUGUGAUUUCACGCUACUCCAUUGUCAUAUUUGCAGGAGAAUAGAUUCGGUGAAGUCUGCUGUCAAGUUACUGGACGCGUGGUAUUUGCACAACACUUUUGAGUCCGCAGCUUCGGUGUUUUAAGGCUGUUUCGAUAUGGAGAAGAAGUGGGAAGAGAUUUACGCGUUCAUUUCUGCGGGCUCCUACCCUUCAGGAUAUGACAAGGCUCAGAGGCAAAACCUCAGAAGAUAUGCC